GGUCCUGCCUGCCCUGUGACCCCUGGUUCAACGGCCGCGGUAUUUUGACCGUGCAAAGGUAGCGCAAUCACUUGUCUCUUAAAUGAGGACCUGUAUGAAUGGCAUAACGAGGGCUUAACUGUCUCCUUUCCCCGGUCAGUGAAAUUGAUCUUCCCGUGCAGAAGCGGGAAUACUAACAUAAGACGAGAAGACCCUAUGGAGCUUUAGACUCUAGAACAGAUCAUGUAAGCUACCUCCAUGAAAUAGGUAAUAACUAUUGAAUCUCUGUUCCCAUGUCUUUGGUUGGGGCGACCACGGGGAAUAAAAAAACCCCCAUGUGGACCGGGAGCACAUUACUCCUACAACCAUGAGCCACAGCUCUAAUGCACAAAACAUUUGACCAUUAGAUCCGGCAAAGCCGAUCAACGGACCAAGUUACCCUAGGGAUAACAGCGCAAUCCCCUUUAAGAGUCCAUAUCGACAAGGGGGUUUACGACCUCGAUGUUGGAUCAAGACAUCCUAAUGGUGCAGCCGCUAUUAAGGGUUCGUUUGUUCAACGAUUAAAGUCUU
rnacentral:rRNA from 1 species